rnacentral:rRNA from 1 species
UACGUAGGUGACAAGCGUUGUCCGGAUUUACUGGGCGUAAAGAGCGCGCAGGCGGUCGUUCAAGUCGAGUGUGAAAGCCCCCGGCUCAACUGGGGAGGGUCACUCGAUACUGAUCGACUCGAAGGCAGGAGAGGGAAGUGGAAUUCCCGGUGUAGUGGUGAAAUGCGUAGAGAUCGGCAGGAACACCCAGGGGGAAACCAGUCGACUGGGCAUCUACUGACGCUGAGGUGCGAGAGCGUGGGGAGCGAACCGG